GGUUGUAUAGUGUAGUGGUUAUCACACUGGAUUUUGAUGUAUAACACAUUCAUCGAUUUCCAGUAACCCAGGUUCGAGCCCUGGUACGACCU